GCCAGUGUGGUGUAGUGGUUUGAGUGUUGGGACUACGAUUCUAGAGAUCAGGGUUCAAAUCCCAGCUUGGCCA